rnacentral:rRNA from 1 species
AUUGAACGCUGGCGGCAGGCCUAACACAUGCAAGUCGAGCGGAGCAGCGAACGGGUGAGUAAUGCCUAGGCAUAUGCCUGGUAGUGGGGGAUAACGUCCGGAAACGGGCGCUAAUACCGCAUACUAUCAGACAAGACUAGGUCGGAUGAGCUAGUUGGUGGGGUAAAGGACUACCAAGGCGACGCUCCGUAAAUGGUCUGGGAGGAUGAUCAGUCACACUGUAACUGAGACACGGUCCAGACUCCUACGGUAGGCAGCAGUGGGGAAUAUUGGACAAUGGUCGAAAGCAUUAUCCAGCCAUGCCGCGUGUGUUAAGAAGGUCUUCGGAUUGUAAAGCACUUUAAGUUGGGAGGCGUUACAAACAGACUACGCACCGGCGAACUUCGUGCCAGCAGCCGCGGUAAUAC